AACGAACGCUGGCGGCAUGCCUAACACAUGCAAGUCGAACGAAGCCUUCGGGCUUAGUGGCGCACGGGUGCGUAACGCGUGGGAAUCUGCCCUUUGGUUCGGAAUAACAGUUGGAAACGACUGCUAAUACCGGAUGAUGACGAAAGUCCAAAGAUUUAUCGCCAGAGGAUGAGCCCGCGUAGGAUUAGCUAGUUGGUGUGGUAAAGGCGCGCCAAGGCGACGAUCCUUAGCUGGUCUGAGAGGAUGAUCAGCCACACUGGGACUGAGACACGGCCCAGACUCCUACGGGAGGCAGCAGUGGGGAAUAUUGGACAAUGGGCGAAAGCCUGAUCCAGCAAUGCCGCGUGAGUGAUGAAGGCCUUAGGGUUGUAAAGCUCUUUUACCCGGGAUGAUAAUGACAGUACCGGGAGAAUAAGCUCCGGCUAACUCCGUGCCAGCCGCCGCAGUAA
rnacentral:rRNA from 1 species